CCUAACCGACUUGCCAAAAAUAUAGUUUAUUAACAAGAAAUUUGUGGAGUGGUUGAAAAAUGACUUUUAAUGACUCCAACAACCUAAGUGUAUGUAAACUUCCGACUUCAACUGUAGACUGGACAUGACUCCCUUCAAACUUUUCUGGUAAUUCCUAAAAAAUCUGAAGUGAGUUGCACAAUUACUAGCUUUGAAUCCCAUCCUGAAUAGCGCUCCAUUUCACUAUGGUCUCACUGGUGAAGCAGAGUAGUAUUCAGGGUGGACUCAAAACAAAUACCCCUCCCUGCUCCUUCCUCUUCAAACAAGACAUCCUUGAGGUCAUUUCCUUAACUCCACCAGGGUUUCUAACUCAACAAGACGAUUCCCACAAACAGCCAAAGUUAUUCUCGUGAAAGCUGCUUGCCCAAACAGAUCAUGAUUUAUAAUAGUUUAGUAGCCUGGAACCUCAAACUGAAUAUAUCACUAUUUCACUGAAACAGCAGGGAAACAGAGUAAUAUCUGUGCUCCGGGCUCGGGUUUUAGUGAUCAAUAGCCGGACGGUCUAUAAUCUACAUUAUGCUUCUCUUCGUGUACAUUAUAUUCAUAGGUUGCAAGUUUGGUCACAAUAUUGUUUUAAACGUUCAUGUUGGACUGAGCAUUUUGCUAAAUGCGUCGUCAAUGAGCGCUGAUGAAGAUUUCAUCAAAAAGCGCGUUACAGUGGAUUGGAAAUACAAUGAAAUUCAAAAUGAGGCAAAUCAUUUGUAGAAAAACUUUGAAUGUCUCCAGAUUGACUUUUACUAGCUAGCUAAAAUUGAGGGGAGGCCAACGGAUUUUAGCUAGCUAACGUUAGCAUUGCUAGCUAUUUUUGACGAACUUUACAAGCUAAUGACAACAUUAGACAUGUCUAAAGUAAAUUUGAAGGCAUGAUAAUGCUGACAUUAAGUUGUUUCCUACUAAAUAUUCGACUACUUUUACAAUGUCAUCGUAUUUCCAGGCACUGUAGUGUAAUUUUGACGAAACAGUAGUUAGCCUCCGUCCAGAAUGCCUCCGGUAGAGGGCGGCUUGACGACGUUCAUAACAAUGGCAUGACACGACCGAGUGAUAGAGGUGCAAGUCAUGAAUAUGCAUGAUGGAGGAAUUUAUAUACACUACAUCUAUAAGGACCAUUAAACAUAUUGUGUUCAGGCAUAUCUAUAAGGACCAUUAAACAUAAUGUGGACAGGCAUAUCUAUAAGGACCAUUAAAUAUAAUGUGGACAGGCAUAUCUAUAAGGACCAUUAACCAUAAUGUGGUCAGGCAUAUCUAUAAGGACCAUUAAACAUAAUGUGGACAGGCAUAUCUAUAAGGACCAUUAAAUAUAAUGUGGACAGGCAUAUCUAUAAGGACCAUUAAACAUAAUGUGGACAGGCAUAUCUAUAAGGACCAUUAAACAUAAUGUGGACAGGCAUAUCUAUAAGGACCAUUAAACAUAAUGUGGACAGGCAUAUCUAUAAGGACCAUUAAACAUAAUGUGGACAGGCAUAUCUAUAAGGACCAUUAACCAUAAUGUGGACAGGCAUAUCUAUAAGGACCAUUAAACAUAAUGUGGACAGGCAUAUCUAUAAGGACCAUUAAAUAUAAUGUGGACAGGCAUAUCUAUAAGGACCAUUAAACAUAAUGUGGACAGGCAUAUCUAUAAGGACCAUUAAACAUAAUGUGGACAGGCAUAUCUAUAAGGACCAUUAAACAUAAUGUGGACAGGCAUAUCUAUAAGGACCAUUAAAUAUAAUGUGGACAGGCAUAUCUAUAAGGACCAUUAAAUAUAAUGUGGACAGGCAUAUCUAUAAGGACCAUUAAACAUAAUGUGGACAGGCAUAUAUAUAAGGACCAUUAAACAUAAUGUGGACAGGCAUAUCUAUAAGGACCAUUAACCAUAAUGUGGACAGGCAUAUCUAUAAGGACCAUUAACCAUAAUGUGGACAGGCAUAUCUAUAAGGACCAUUAAACAUAAUGUGGACAGGCAUAUCUAUAAGGACCAUUAACCAUAAUGUGGACAGGCAUAUCUAUAAGGACCAUUAACCAUAAUGUGGACAGGCAUAUCUAUAAGGACCAUUAACCAUAAUGUGGACAGGCAUAUCUAUAAGGACCAUUAAACAUAAUGUGGACAGGCAUAUCUAUAAGGACCAUUAACCAUAAUGUGGACAGGCAUAUCUAUAAGGACCAUUAACCAUAAUGUGGACAGGCAUAUCUAUAAGGACCAUUAAACAUAAUGUGGACAGGCAUAUCUAUAAGGACCAUUAAACAUAAUGUGGACAGGCAUAUCUAUAAGGGCCAUUAAAUAUAAUGUGGACAGGCAUAUCUAUAAGGACCAUUAAAUAUAAUGUGGACAGGCAUAUCUAUAAGGACCAUUAAAUAUAAUGUGGACAGGCAUAUCUAUAAGGACCAUUAAAUAUAAUGUGGACAGGCAUAUCUAUAAGGACCAUUAAAUAUAAUGUGGACAGGCAUAUCUAUAAGGGCCAUUAAAUAUCAUGUGAACAGGCAUAUCUAUAAGGACCAAUAAACAUAAUGUGGACAGGCAUAUCUAUAAGGACCAUUACACAUAAUGUGGACAGGCAUAUCUAUAAGGACCAUUAAAUAUAAUGUGUUCAGGCAUAUCUAUAAGGACCACGUAGGAAUCUAUCUUGCUGCUGAAAAUGUGCAAGUGUUCGACCAAGGAGGAUACAGAUGGUUGUUUGUUGUGUGACAAUGAAUUGAGAAACAUUUCACUUUUUGUACGUACUUAUGGAUGAUUUUUGUAUUAUUAUUUGUGAUUAAAAAAGAAGAAAGGUUUUUGAAUACAUAAAACGUUAACCGUCCGUGCACAUUGUUUACUGUUAGUAGAGUUGUAUCUAUCCACUAUGUGGGCUUAAUGGCCAUAUUAGCCAGGAGGACAAAGGUUGUGUUCCAAAUGGGACCCUAGAGCCUUUAAAGUGCACUACAUUUGACCAGGCCCAUAGAGCUCUGAUCACAAGUAGUGAACUAUCUAGAGAAGAGGGUGGGGAGGAUGUACUACUAAUGGACUUGAAUGUUGUGAUUAGUUCUCUCCUUGUCCGCCAUAAUAACCACAGUAGUAACUAUUUAAAAAUCUGAUAUAAGCUGUACAUAUUGUAUGUAUGUUUUAAUAAUGAAAUGUACAUGUUUGGAGGGCAGCACAAGGAGAGGUGCAGGCCUUAAACAGCUGUUUGUGUUGUUCCUACUACUGAGGGGAAAAGGGGGUUUUAUCUUCUACUGUACGACUGGACAUCUGUUCACUGAAUACUUGCUGGUGCGGAGGAAAUAUGUUGCCAUUAAUCUGUAUUCCAACUGUUGUAGUGCUUAUUCAAAAAAACAACAGACCAAAACUAAAAUCUAAAACUUAGCUAAAACUAAAACAGUGUGUUGAGUAAUUGUUUUGGUGGUUUACUGAGGGUUUAGUACUGAAGCCAUGCUAUGAACUUUAGACUAUAUUACUGUACUGUACAUGGAAUAUUCCUGGAUGUUACUCUACUACCCUGUGUUGUGCAGAGUUGUACUACGUUGGGAGUACUACGUUGAGAGUUGUACUACCUUGAGAGUACUACAGUUGUACUACCUUGAGAGUACUACGUUGAGAGUUGUACUACCUUGAGAGCACUACGUUGAGAGUUGUACUACCUUGAGAGUACUACAUUGUACUACCUUGAGAAUACUACCUUGAGAGUUGUACUACCUUGAGAGUACUACGUUGAGAGUUGUACUACCUUGAGAAUACUACGUUGAGAGUUGUACUACCUUGAGAAUACUACGUUGAGAGUUGUACUACCUUGAGAGUACUACGUUGAGAGUUGUACUACCUUGAGAGUACUACGUUGAGAGUUGUACUACGUUGAGAGUUGUACUACCUUGAGAGUACUACCUUGAGAGUACUACGUUGAGAGUUGUACUACCUUGACUAGACAGUUAGCGGCUUGAAGAUGCCACUAAACUGCCCUGUACCUAAACAGAAAAUGAUACUGUACCUAAUGAAACUGCUGAUACUGUACCUAAUGAAACUGCUGAUACUGUACCUACUGUAAGACGUUGACUUUAUAGUCCCUACUGCCAAUAAAGAGAAACUGUUUCGAACGAUCA